GGAGGGGUGGGUGAGCGGCUAAUACCAGCAGACUGUAAAUCUGCCGCCUGAGAUGGCUUCGUAGGUUCGAAUCCUACCCCCUCCACCA
rnacentral:tRNA from 1 species